GAAGUUAAUAAAGGGAAGUCAGCUUGCCUCUGAUUAUUCAAACAGGCUACUGCUAUUAAGGAUUGCACAACUUCUGGGCAAGGCAGAGAGGAGACAGAGACGUCAUUGCUUCACCCAGGGCAAGAGGACAAAGGAGGAUGCAUGGAAAUACAAACAGCCCUUCUCCUCCAGGCCAUACCGACUGUCCAACUAGCAACAGACUUCACCUGGUUUUGGAGCAAUCUGAAUUUGGAAUAUGCCAGAGAAAACUUCUAUCAGGCAAGAUGGAAGACUCCUAGGAUAGGUCUCUCUCAUGGAGGGAUUGGUAAUAAAAAAAUCAUGGGAAAAGAAAUAAGGGAGGGUGGAAAAAACACACCUUAGAAAACAACUUCUGAUGUCCCGGGGCUACACAAUGGGGGAGCUGAGC
rnacentral:lncRNA from 1 species